UUAACGAUUUACUUUUCGUAUACUGACAGAAAUUUACAGAAGUGGUUUCAGUGAGCCUCGGACGGGCUGACAGCACGAAGCAUGCCGCCGAAGCAACAGGAGGUUCACAAUGGUUUGAAGUGACGGGUACCCGAAAGAUCUCACAAGGAGACCAGACCGGCAUCACGUACGUUUAGAGCCCAAGAGGCUGGUCCACCCGGACUUUCAUCCAGGGUGAAGGAUAUUUUUAAUGAUCCUUCCGCAGGUUCACCUACGGAAA
rnacentral:misc_RNA from 1 species